UACGGAGGGGGCUAGCGUUGUUCGGAAUUACUGGGCGUAAAGCGCACGUAGGCGGCUUUGUAAGUUAGAGGUGAAAGCCCAGGGCUUAACCCUGGAAUUGCCUUUAAGACUGCAUCGCUUGAAUCCAGGAGAGGUGAGUGGAAUUCCGAGUGUAGAGGUGAAAUUCGUAGAUAUUCGGAAGAACACCAGUGGCGAAGGCGGCUCACUGGACUGGUAUUGACGCUGAGGUGCGAAAGCGUGGGGAGCAAACAGG
rnacentral:rRNA from 1 species